AAGAACCGCGACAUUUUGCAGAACAAAGGCAUCGACGGUUUUCAAUAUGAGAGACGGAGAAGAUAACUCGCAAGUUCAUCAACAGGAUGCCAGAUAAGUACUCGAGGUUUCUUCUACGGUAUUUCGAAGUAUCAGUCUCUUCGUUAUCUCAAUGUUGUCAUACGCACACACAUUCGCGAACGUAGAGACAGUCUAUAGAGCAUCCUUAGAAACAUAGUGGAAAAGAAACCGAAACGAACAACAACUACACACCAACAGUAAAACUACAAUAUAUCAUCUAUAAUAACAACUACAGCAACAACCAACACGCCUGCCUGUAUAUCGCUCAUUACUCAUCAUCAUCAUCAUCUUCUUUGUCAUCAUUCAUCAUUAAUCGGCAUCUCAUCGUCCACGUGGCACAUUGUGCUUGAAGGAAUUGGCAAGAUCAAGAAGCCGGAAGCUUCUUCAAACUGCUGGUAACUCAAAUUGAUUAACAUCCGAUUGUUUACAAUGUAUAAAAUAUGAUAAUAACAGAUGACGUACGAUGAUUUUGGAUGAAUUAGUUUGAAGAUGUGCUAUAAGCGUUUAUCUUCUCUCUUUUAAACAGCUUCAGCGAUGUCUAGAUCGUUGUAGACGUCAUAAUUUAUUAUUGUUGCAAUAAUGUAUUAAAACAUACAUAUUUGUGCGACUUGUUGUUUAUUAUACAAUUCUUUGCAGCGCAACGUACAAUAUCGUUAAAAAAAAUUGACGAUUUGUUAGAAGAGCUUGUUUCAUAUUUAUUUCUCCGAUAUUCUCUUUUAUAAUCCUAAGUAGGUAUAUAAUUAAAUUAGAGCGCUGCAAAGAAAUAGAUUAGAUUAACGAUUGAAUGAAACAAUAAAAGAUUCGCAUAAAUUACGAUUCUAUAUUUUUUGGAUCUUGAUAUUUCCAAAUAUCGUUUAUUUUUUUUUAAAUAUCCAAAUAUUUAUCAUGGAUAUAUAAAAGGAUUCGCUGGAGCAGAUACGAGUUUGCAUACUAAUCGGCAUCUGUCAGUAAUUAAAAUUACAUUUUUUGUUUAAUUACUUUGAUCUUAGCAAAGAAAAAAUAAGGAAAUUAUAAGAAAGUUAAUAAGAAUUUAUACCAUGUUGCAUUCCUAAUUAGAAAUUAGCUUCAUCAUUGUUGUUUUAUAUUCUUUCCAUUUUUAUUUAUUUAUUUUAAUUUUCUCGAGAAUUAAUUGGAAAGUACAUAAUUAAUUUUAGAAUCUUCCUCAAUAUUCGAGAUUUUGAAAAAUUAAUAUUUAAAAGACUAAACAUUUUUUUAGAUAUAUUUUUGAAUACAUUUUCUAGAAUGUUGCAUCAAAUUCUUGCAACCGAUACGUCAAUCGCAAAAAGUAAAAAUACACAAAAAGAUACGUCGCUGUAAAUAUUACAGCAAUUUGCAGGAUCGAAAUGUAUUCCGCAACAAAAGAUCGCAAGGAGCCAAGAGAACGUGGCCGAGGCACUAAAAAGUCUGUUGUAAAUAAUAUUAUAUUUAUGUUUCUUCUUUCAUGUGUGCGAUAGUCCCGAUCGUCGAGAACUAUUCCUCUUGAAUCCCCAUUUAAAGAUUUAUAUCCACUCCCAAAAUACACCACUGUAGCAUCUCCUGUACAUGCAUAUCUGACUGAAUGAAAUUUGCAUGUACUUGAGAUUGUUCGGAUACUCGAGAGUGUACAAUUACUACGCAUAUAUAUAUCGUACGAGGACAACAGAUCGUAAUAAAAUAUCGCAAAAAAAAUUGAUCUUUUAAAUCUCAAUUUUAAAUGAAUAGAUUCUUAAAUAGGCAAUCUGUUAAAAAAGGUGUUAACAAAAACUUGUGAUGGUGUAAAUUAUUUAAUGAUAAGCGUACUUUUACAUUAAGUUAAAGCAAGAUAUGUCAUCAUAGAUUGUAUAUAUCUGCGACAAAAUGCAUUUAAGGAGUAAUGAUGUGGUAUCGAUCGCUUAUGAAUUUGAUGAUAUAAUUAAAUAUGCAGAAUGCGAUAUUUUAUUACAUUCUCUUUUUUCUCUUUAUGCGAGUAAUCGAUUGAUUACCGUCAAAACUUGAUACAAAUGAGAUGUUUUGAAGAACUGGAAAUGUUUGAAGAUAAGUUGGCGAGCGAUCUGAAUAGAUACAACAUUUUCGAGUAAAUAAUUGCUUUCUUGUGGAAACUCGAACGCGAUAACGUAUCGCAAAAUAGGAACGAUUAACGGAGAGAAAUUCCAUCGGAUGAUACGUUCCACGAUCGUUCGAUCUCGCUCGCCGCUAAUAUCGUCGCGUCUGCCAUUGCGGUGAGUUAAUUACGAAAUGUUGAAAGUGUAAAAUUUUAUCGUUAAUACUUGAGGAUACCUCUUGUGUGAAUUCCGCGGGUAUACGACAGCACUUCUCUCGUUGCUAGUUUACCCAUUUCCCGUUCAUUAGUUUAAUUCCGACGCCUCUGUGCAUCUCGACGAAAUGUCUACGAACCACUAGAUCCAAAAGCAAAGACUUAUUAACUCGACUCUAAUAUAUAUUUAAACGUUAGGGCAUCUAUAAGCUGGAAUCAAAGUGCGUAUUGUGCACGACAUAGAUAUUUAUUGAAGCAAAGUGUCGCGAGCUGUAAAAUGUAUCUAAAAAAUCGGAUAAAAAUGUAUUAUUACUCUCUUAUUUUAUCAAUAUUUUUUGGAUUAAUAACUAUAUAUAAAAAUAUUUAUUAAUUUUUCAUUACUUUUUUAUUAACAAUGAGAUUUAAUUCAUAAAAUGUAAUGCUUAAUUUUUUCAAAAAAUUUAAUUUAAUUAUACUUUCUAGAAAAAUAUUUAUAUAUUUAUUGCGAUACUUGGCUGCAAUUUAUGUCCGAGGGAUGGCAUACGUCGCCGCGAUUGAAACAACUUCCUCUCUUACUUCUGACCUCUAAUCUCAAAUAGAUACACGUACAGAUGAAAUAAUCUCAAUAUUACUAGAGCAAUGAGGAAAGUAAAGUAAGAAUCUCGUGAAAGAAAUAUAUUUACGUUAAAUUUGUGAAUAUUCUACAAAAAAAUCAAAUAUACAGACAAUCUAAUAAUUGACAUAUUAAUAAUUGCUUGGACCAUAAUAUUGAUUGGACCUAAAUAUUAUUUAUCUGGAAUUUUUUAUAUUUUUAUAAAGAUGUUAGAAAUAGUAAAAUUUUAUUAGUGACAUGCGAGAUAUUAUUGAAAAGUUAAUUUUUACAAAAAAGUAGCGCUGUUGUUAUUUAAUUAUUGCCACCUCCAACUGUUUACAUUUUGAAUUGCGGUUAUUGCUGUCCUAAAAAGAACAUAAUAUGAUUGUUAAAUAUCUUUUUCGUAUCAAACGAAUCAAGAGAUCGAAGGUGAGGUGGAGAGGAAGGAAGAUGGGAGAAAAAUAAAAAGAAACAAUUAGUUAAUGUGUGCCACCGUCAUAUCAAGCCUAUAUCAUCGUGUUACAUCAUAUAUAGCUAACUAAGCAGAAAAAUUAAUAUUAUCGUUAAUUGACACAAUUGUUAACACGAAAUGAAUGUUUGAUGUAUGAAUGUGUUACGCGCACCUGAUAAAAAUCUCAAUUUAAAAAAAAACUAAGGGCAUUUCACUUUCUUAAAAUAUGAAAUUUUUUAUUUUUGGAGAUUGCAAUAAUUCAAAUAUUUAGAUCUCACUUUUAUGAUGAUGUAUAUCGGGUAUUUUUCAAAUUUUUAAGUUUAAUUUAAUUUUGAUUGAUGUUGCGUGUGAAUAUUGAAUUUAAGAUAUUAAUUCUUUAAUAUAGACAUAAUGUAAACAUAAUUUGGUAAUAAUCUGAUUUUUAUUUUGCGAAAAACCGUGAUGUGGAUAUAUGCAUGAACGGAAGAAUGACAGACACAGACAAAAUAUCGGAUCGAAUUUCUUGUUGACUUAUUAGAUUCUAUACUAACGUAAUAUAAUAUAAUAGUAAUGUAUUAUCCGAUCACAUACACACUCCACGAGUUUCUUUCGAUGUCAUAGAAUCAAUGUCGUCCGCAUCCGAAGGAUGAAAAUGGCUCGGGUGAGAGAACGAACGAGAGGGAGGAUGCGAUUGAUUUUCGCAACAGAUCGCGCCUAAAAUCGUUAGAAACAUAAUAAUCGGUAGCGUAAUAAGCACUCGUUAAACUUUAGGCCCGAUUUUACUUAGCAACAAUCGUCGUCACUUGAUCCUCUCGUCCACAAUCUAGAAACAUCGCGCUGUCAUUUCCGUCAACGAAUUAUAUCUUUAAAUAAAAUGUGACUUGUUCGGAGAAACAUUACGUUAAAUACUUUCUCUAAAUGCUCUCUCACGCCUAAAAUCGUUUUUCAAAACAAUUACUCGAGAAGAUAUUUAACCACGUAAAUCAUGAUAGAUCUUUCGCUGUGUAAAUUAUCCAUCGGCUAUUAUCCAGAUCCUCCUCCCCUCGAAUCUCACCGUUUAUACGGUACUCAAGGUGAUCCUAAAGCGAGACUGCAGAGUGAGACGAGAGUGAGAGGUUGAGUGAAAGAGAGCGAAAGAAAAGCGGUCUUGAUAUUAUUUUUUGACUCGUGAUUAUUAAGUGUCCGCGAUAAGAAAAUACCAAAAAAGUACGAUUUUUAUGUGAAUAUUGUAAGGAAAACCGUACCGGCGUAAUCGCAAUCCUUAUUGGAUGCUGCUUCAAGAUAAAAAAAAAUUAAGACUCUGAACACAUCAUGAUUUAACAGAAAUCGAGAUUCUGUGCGACAAAUCAAAAGACGAUUAUCAUAUAUCAAAAUGUUUAAUUUUUUUUUUUAGAUCGAAUAUAACAAAUAUCGAAGCUUUUUAUCUUUAUCAUCAUUUUUCUCCAUUAUGCUGGUAAUCGGUGCAUUGCAGAAAAUUCUCACUGAGAAGAAUAGAUCAGCAUCCAAUGCAUCUGAUAAGGCUCGAUACCGGUACGAUAUGAUUCCAAGCCACUCCUUUUCUAUUCUCCAAUUUCUACGUAUUUAAUCGCUAAGUGAACAAUUGAUAACAAAUUUAACGAAGAAGAAACGCACGAGGGAGAACGCUUGAUUAAAUUAUUGUGUAAUAUUUAUCGUUAAUAAUCUCGAAGAAAAGUCGACGCAAUACAACUUUCGAUCGCGUGUAUAUAUCUAAGCGGAUGAUAAUAAUAUGCGACAACGCGGAAGUAUAAUGUCGCAAAAGUGUGUAACAAAAGUGCGCAUUGAGCAGAGAGUGAAAGAGAGGGAGAGAAAGUGGGAGAAAAAGAGAGCAAGAAUACGAGUGAGAUAGAUCCUGUUUUGCCUAGAGAGAGAGUCCUUGCGACACCAAUUAAUUAACCGUCUCGUCUAUGUGGAGUGAGUGUUGCGCUUAAUCCGCCGAAAAUCGCCGAAAAUCGCACCAACAAAUUGCUCUCACGUUCAUUUUUUAUGAUUUUUUCUCGCGCUUCGGUGAUUUCCGGCCACGGGCAGGAGAGUUGAUGAUUAUAAACGAGAGAGAGAGAGAGAGAAAGGUACUGGCAAAUUACGGUGAAGAGUGCGACGAACCUAAAAAUAAGAUUUAUCGAAGUAAGUUAAGAAAUAAGCUAAUUAAAGUAACAGUUUAUUAAAGUACAUUGUUGCAACUGCCAUGCUGUGUGCCAUUAUAUAACGAGUCACGUUUGUCGUAAAAAGCAAAAAGAACAAAAAAAA